rnacentral:rRNA from 1 species
UACGGAGGGUGCAAGCGUUAUCCGGAUUCACUGGGUUUAAAGGGUGCGUAGGUGGGCAAGUAAGUCAGUGGUGAAAUCUUCGAGCUUAACUCGGAAACUGCCAUUGAUACUAUUUAUCUUGAAUACUUUGGAGGUAAGCGGAAUAUGUCAUGUAGCGGUGAAAUGCUUAGAUAUGACAUAGAACACCAAUUGCGAAGGCAGCUUACUACACAGUUAUUGACACUGAGGCACGAAAGCGUGGGGAUCAAACAGG